rnacentral:rRNA from 1 species
AUUGAACGCUGGCGGCAGGCCUAACACAUGCAAGUCGAGCGGAUGAAGGGAGCUUGCUCCUGGAUUCAGCGGCGGACGGGUGAGUAAUUCCUAGGAAUCUGCCUGGUAUUGGGGGAUAACGUCCGGAAACGGGCGCUAAUACCGCAUACGUCCUGAGGUAGAAAGUGGGGGAUCUUCGGACCUCACGCUAUCAGCUGAGCCUAGGUCGGAUUAGCUAGUUGGUGGGGUAAGGGCCUACCAAGGCGACGAUCCGUAACUGGUCUGAGAGGAUGAUCAGUCACACUGGAACUGAGACACGGUCCAGACUCCUACGGGAGGCAGCAGUGGGGAAUCUUGGACAAUGGGCGAAAGCCUGAUCCAGCCAUGCCGCGUGUGUGAAGAAGGUCUUCGGAUUGUAAAGCACUUUAAGUUGGGAGGAAGGGAAGUAAGUUAAUACCUUGAUGUUUUGACGUUACCAACAGAAUAAGCACCGGCUAACUUCGUG